rnacentral:rRNA from 1 species
UACGGAGGAGGCAAGCGUUAUCCGGAAUUAUUGGGCGUAAAGCGUCCGCAGGUGGCACUUCAAGUCUGCUGUCAAAGACCGGGGCUUAACCCCAGAAAGGCAGUGGAAACUGAAGUGCUAGAGUGCAUUAGGGGUAGAGGGAAUUCCCGGUGUAGCGGUGAAAUGCGUAGAGAUCGGGAAGAACAUCGGUGGCGAAAGCGCUCUGCUGGACUGCAACUGACACUCAGGGACGAAAGCUAGGGGAGCGAAAUGGG